AUGAACGCUGGCGGCGUGCCUCAUACAUGCAAGUCGAGCGAACAGACGAGGAGCUUGCUCCUCUGACGUUAGCGGCGGACGGGUGAGUAACACGUGGAUAACCUACCUAUAAGACUGGGAUAACUUCGGGAAACCGGAGCUAAUACCGGAUAAUAUAUUGAACCGCAUGGUUCAAUAGUGAAAGACGGUUUUGCUGUCACUUAUAGAUGGAUCCGCGCCGCAUUAGCUAGUUGGUAAGGUAACGGCUUACCAAGGCGACGAUGCGUAGCCGACCUGAGAGGGUGAUCGGCCACACUGGAACUGAGACACGGUCCAGACUCCUACGGGAGGCAGCAGUAGGGAAUCUUCCGCAAUGGGCGAAAGCCUGACGGAGCAACGCCGCGUGAGUGAUGAAGGUCUUCGGAUCGUAAAACUCUGUUAUUAGGGAAGAACAAAUGUGUAAGUAACUAUGCACGUCUUGACGGUACCUAAUCAGAAAGCCACGGCUGACUACGUG
rnacentral:rRNA from 1 species